AUGCAGGAUAAGUUACAAUAUAGCUGUUGUGCUGUGUUGUCGUUCCCCCUGCAAAAAUUAAAUUGCUUCCUACUAUCCCUGCCUGCCCUGAAUCUUACCCCGGUAGGCAGGGACGCUUGGUCUCAAACAU